AGAUGUGAGGGAAAUCUGGCUGCAUCAUCUGUCACCCCAUUGAUUUCCAGGGUUGAUUUGGCUGAUCUGGCUGCUAGGCGGGUGUCACCUUCAUCCCUCACCGCUCCAUGAGUGUCCUUCCCAAAGGACAUGCUUGGUCAAAGAGGACUGCCUUCCCUGAAUAGAGAUGGACCGAUCUUCAGUCAAGGGUACACGAGUAGCUGUGCUCUCCUGCUAGAACUUCCAAACAAUCUCUCAAAGAUACCUUCUUGGGCAAUACUGUAGGUGUGAAUGGCAUAUAUAUAUAUAUCCAGAGCACUGCUCAGCUCUGGUUCAU
rfam:Erinaceus europaeus unplaced genomic scaffold scaffold00096, whole genome shotgun sequence